rnacentral:rRNA from 1 species
CACGGAGUUAGCCGGUGCUUCCUCUAGUGGUACCAUCACACCUCAGCCGUAUUAUUGCUGAAGUCGUUUUUCCCACUCGACAGGGCUUUACAACCCGAAGGCCUUCUUCACCCACGCGGCGUCGCUGCGUCAGACUUUCGUCCAUUGCGCAAGAUUCCCCACUGCUGCCUCCCGUAGGAGUCUGGACCGUGUUUCAGUUCCAGUGUGGCUGAUCGUCCUCUCAGACCAGCUACCCAUCAAUGCCUUGGUAGGCCAUUACCCUACCAACUAGCUAAUGAGACGCAGGCUCAUCUCAGUGCAAAAGCCGUAUUGCUACGGCCUCCCUUUCCCGCUUAAGCCCUUACAGCCUAAGCGCUCUAUCCAGUAUUAGCUAACCUUUCGGCUAGUUAUCCCGGUCACAAAGGUAGAUCACCUACGUGUUACUCACCCGUGCGCCACUUUACUCAUGUAUUGCUACACUUUUCGCGUUUCGACUUGCAUGUGUUAGGCGCGCCGCC